AUUUUACCCCAAAAUCUGCAUUUUCAUCCCAAAAAUCUGCAUUUUUAUCUCAAAAUCUGCACUUUUUACCUCACGAUUUCCUCACCCUCCACAAAAUCUGCCUCAGACCCCAAAAUCGGCACUUUCCACCUCAAAACCUGCACUUUUCACCUCAAAAAUCAGCAUUUUUACCCUAAAAUCUGCACUUUUCACCCCAAAAUCUGUAUUUCUACCCUAAAAUCUGCAUUUUUACCCCAAAACCUGCACUUUUCCCCUCAGAAUUUGCAGUUUUCACCUCAAAACCUGCACUUUUUACUUCAGGAUUUCCUCCCGACCUCCAAAAUUCACAAUUUAACCUCCAAAUCGACUUUUUUUACCUCAAAACCGGCACUUUUCACAUCAAAAUCUGAAAUUUUACCCCAAAAUCUGCAUUUUCACCCCAAAAAUCUGCAUUUUUACCUCAAAAUCUUCAUUUUCACCUCAAAAAUCUUCAUUUUCACCCCAAAAAUCUGCAUUUUUAUCUCAAAAUCUACAUUUUUACCUCACGAUUUCCUCACCCACCACGAAAUCUGCCCCAGACCCCAAAACCUGCACUUUUCACCUCAAAAUCUGCACUUUUCACCUCAAAAAUCAGCAUUUUUACCUCAAAAUCGGCACUUUCCACCCCCAAAUCCGCUUUUUUCACCCCAAAAUGCACUUUUUUCCCUCAAAAUCUGCACUUUUCACUCAAAAUCUGCAAUUUCCACCUCAGAAUCUGCACUUUUCAUCCCAAAAUUUGCAUUUUUACCCCAAAAUCUGCACUUUUUACCUCACGAUUUCCUCACCCUCCACAAAAUCUGCCUCAGAUCCCAAAAUCGGCACUUUCCACCUCAAAACCUGCACUUUUCACCUCAAAAAUCAGCAUUUUUAACCCAAAAUCCGCUUUUUUCACCCCAAAAUGCACUUUUUUCCCUCAAAAUCUGCACUUUUCUCCUCACGCUUCCUCGAACCGCCCCCAACGCUCCCCCCGCACCCAAAAUUCGCCUUUUUCCCCCCAAAAUUCGCCUUUUUCCCCCCAAAAUUCGCCUUUUUCUCCCCAAACCCCGCCUGCCCCAGCCCCGCCUCGGCCCCUUUUCCCUCCCAGCCCCAAAUUUUCCCUUUUUCACCCCAAAAUUCCGCCCCCCCCCCCCCACCUGA
rnacentral:lncRNA from 1 species